ACCUGAACCUUUGAAUUUAUCAGUGGAGUCCUGAGAGUUCUCUGGCGGCCAAACCCUCCAACAACUGGUCGGCAAAUCCUGACCGCGCUUUAACUGACCGUUGGACACAAAAUUAUACGGGAACAAUGUUUUAGUUACAAAAUAUUACGAGGUUACCGGAGUCUUACCGGGCCUCAGGCGAGAAAGAGCAAAAUGUGAAAAGACUGUACGAACCAGAAAACGUCAUUACCAGAUAACCAGUUGUAUGAAAGCAGAACAGACGAUGAUUUUCCGCGACCGGAUCAACGGUGGUUUAACAUACAACUGAACGUGGGAAAAGAGAGCGUCAAGGGAAAAGAAACUGAUCUAAUUUCACUCUAUAAAUGACAGCAGAACAGACCUCUAUUGCUUGCUGGUAAAUAAAACUUUAAUAAACAACUAACAUUAUAUUGUAAGCAUGUUUUCAAACAAAAGGUCAAGCAGUCAGAGAGUGUCAAGUGACACACUUCAGUCAGUGAUCGCAUCCGGAAUGUAAUUUCCAGCCAGAACUGAUUAGUAAAACCACAGUGUAAGCUAUUUGAACACCAAAAAAAAUUUUCCAGUUAGCUAGCUCUCGAUAAGCUAAAUUCUCAGCAAGAUUCUGUUUAAUACUAAAAUUCCCAGCCAGCUCAACUUUAGUCUGCAGAGCGGAUAUUUUGCGGAGCGGAUCCGACGGGUACUCCUGCAGUCGGUUAGCUGCGGGUCGAGUGACCUCGGGCAAAGUGUAUUAUAAAGCGGCAACCGCUGCCAGGUGAUGGUUUUUGUCAGCGAGUUGUACACGUGAUGCUUCUUUUAGGACAAAACCCAGCAAAAGUAAAAUUUCAACAUGGCCAGACAUCCCCGUUAUUUCGUAAUUUUUGUAAAAAAUACAAGCCGACCGGUUCAAGUCUCCCGACAUUCCAUGUAUCCCUCACGCUCUUGACACAUGCAGAUUACUCCACGGAAGAACCUCUAUUGCUAAUAAAAUCCUUAAAAAAACUAACUUGUACCUAGCUGAGCCGACCUCCAUGCAGGUGCUGACAGGCUUGUUACGUAAUUACUGGCCACACAAGUUCAGCUAGCAUGGUAAAGAUGUUGUCACGUGCAAAAUUGAUGUUUUGUGAGUUCUCACGUGCUGUUUAAAUUGAACUUGCCGGAGAGUUCCGGCUUUCCCGGUAUAACUGAGUCGUUUACUAAGGUGUAAAGAAUUCUCAGUUGAUUGCAGAGUAAUUGUAUCGUAUUUUAUCAGAACAGUGCUUAAUUUUGGUAAAGUAUGUCCAGUGCCGAGUUUAAAAUCUUUACAACGAUAUUCUGGCCAACUAAAAACAAUUUUAAAAUGGUAUUAAUUUUGUCACUUUUAUGAGAAAAGUAAAAUCAAUAGAAACAAGAGGACAUCUUGUAUUUCAGUAAAAAUAAAUUAUCGGUGUUUAUUUUGUCUUUUAAUGUGCAUUGUUAAAGGAGCUUUUUGUACUCUUAAUAUGUGAGGUUUAUAUCUGGUGAACACUCACGGAAGACCUCAGACGACCGCAGUUCAGACCAUUGAACUGUCAACUGAAUGAUGGAAGAUAAAAUCUGGGCUAAACAGGUCUUGGCCGGGAAUAGAUUAAGUGCGAUAUCUGAAUUGCAAGAACACAAGGCUACUGAAAGACAAGGAAA